CAGAGUUGCAAAACUCCAAACCCUUGUGAACCUACCUAUCGUUGCUUCGGCGGGCUGCCCCUGGGAGGGGUCUUAGGCCUGUAAAGGCGCCCGCCGGAGGUUUUAAAUUCUAUUUUCAGUUGUGUCUCUCUGAGAAAACAAACAAAUAAGUCA
rnacentral:misc_RNA from 1 species